rnacentral:rRNA from 1 species
UACGUAGGGUGCAAGCGUUAAUCGGAAUUACUGGGCGUAAAGCGUGCGCAGGCGGUUUUGUAAGUCUGUCGUGAAAUCCCCGGGCUUAACCUGGGAACUGCAUUUGUGACUGCAUCGCUGGAGUGCGGCAGAGGGGGAUGGAAUUCCGCGUGUAGCAGUGAAAUGCGUAGAUAUGCGGAGGGACACCGAUGGCGAAGGCAAUCCCCUGGGCCUGCACUGACGCUCAUGCACGAAAGCGUGGGGAGCAAACAGG